rnacentral:rRNA from 1 species
ACGAACGCUGGCGGCGUGCUUAACACAUGCAAGUCGAACGGAAAGGCCCUGCUUUUGUGGGGUGCUCGAGUGGCGAACGGGUGAGUAACACGUGAGUAACCUGCCCUUGACUUUGGGAUAACUUCAGGAAACUGGGGCUAAUACCGGAUAGGAGCUCCUGCUGCAUGGUGGGGGUUGGAAAGUUUCGGCGGUUGGGGAUGGACUCGCGGCUUAUCAGCUUGUUGGUGGGGUAGUGGCUUACCAAGGCUUUGACGGGUAGCCGGCCUGAGAGGGUGACCGGCCACAUUGGGACUGAGAUACGGCCCAGACUCCUACGGGAGGCAGCAGUGGGGAAUAUUGCACAAUGGGCGGAAGCCUGAUGCAGCAACGCCGCGUGCGGGAUGACGGCCUUCGGGUUGUAAACCGCUUUCGCCUGUGACGAAGCGUGAGUGACGGUAAUGGUAAAGAAGCACCGGCUAACUACGUG